UGUGGUGUGUGUGUGUGGUGUGUGUGUGUGUGUGUGUGUGUUGUGUGUGUGUGUGUCACACACACACACACACACACACACACACACACACACACACAGUUUAGUUUAGGAUGAUUACACAGGCCAUCCACUCCAUCUCUGAAACAUCU